rnacentral:rRNA from 1 species
UACGUAGGGGGCAAGCGUUGUCCGGAUUUAUUGGGCGUAAAGAGCGUGUAGGCGGCCUGACAGGUCAGCUGUGAAAACUCGAGGCUCAACCUCGAGACGUCGGUUGAAACCAUCUGGCUAGAGUCUGGAAGAGGAGUGUGGAAUUCCCGGUGUAGCGGUGAAAUGCGCAGAUAUCGGGAAGAACACCCGUGGCGAAGGCGGCACUCUGGGACGGUACUGACGCUGAGACGCGAAAGCGUGGGGAGCGAACAGG